CCUACGGGGGGCAGCAGUGGGGAAUUUUGCGCAAUGCUCGUAAGAGUGACGCAGCGACGCCGCGUGAAUGACGAAGGCCUUCGGGUCGUAAAGUUCUUUCGACAGGGAAGAAAAUGCCUAUAAGUAACUGUGUAUGUAUUGACGGUACCUGUAUAAGCAGCCCCGGCUAACUCCGUGCCAGCAGCCGCGGUAAUACGGAGGGGGCGAGCGUUGUUCGGAGGGACUGGGCGUAAAGAGCACGUAGGCGGUGUUGUAAGUCAUUAGUCAAAGACUAGAGCUCAACUUUAGUAAGGCUAGUGAUACUAUAAUACUAGAGUAUCAGAGAGGAUUGCAGAAUUCCUGGUGUAGCGGUGAAAUGCGUAGAUAUCAGGAGGAAUACCGUUAGCGAAGGCGGCAAUCUGGCUGGAAACUGACGCUGAGGUGCGAAAGCGUGGGUAUCGAACAGGAUUAGAUACCCCUGUAGUC
rnacentral:rRNA from 1 species